UUCUUCCCUUCUCCUCUCUCAAUUUCUUCCUCCCUCUUCCUUUCUCUACUUGGGCUUAUCAUGCCCUAUUUUGAGCUGCCGGAUCCGCGACCUCAAGCUUAUCGAAACCAAGGUAAGGUCCCUCUUUCGUUCUCUUUCUGAUCAACCCAUCAGUGGCUAGAAUCCGGCAAAAGGGUUGUCAAGAGAAAGAAGAAAGAAGAAAAAAAGGACAACAAAAGAAAGAGAAGAAGAAAA
rnacentral:lncRNA from 1 species